rnacentral:rRNA from 1 species
UACGGAGGGUGCAAGCGUUAUCCGGAUUUACUGGGUUUAAAGGGUGCGUAGGCGGGCCAUUAAGUCAGUGGUGAAAGCUCCGAGCUUAACUCGGAAACUGCCAUUGAUACUAUUGGUCUUGAAUUCGGUCGAGGUUGGCGGAAUGUGUCGUGUAGCGGUGAAAUGCUUAGAUAUGACACAGAACACCGAUUGCGAAGGCAGCUAGCUAGACCGACAUUGACGCUGAGGCACAAAAGCGUGGGGAUCAAACAGG